rnacentral:rRNA from 1 species
CGGAAAGCCUGACCCAGCAACGCCGCGUGAAGGAUGAAAUCCCUCGGGAUGUAAACUUCGCAAGAACGGGAAGAAUAAGUCCGUGCAAACACCACGGGCGAUGACGGUACUGUUUGUAAGCUCCGGCUAACUCCGUGCCAGCAGCCGCGGUAAUACGGGGGGAGCAAGCGUUGUUCGGAUUUACUGGGCGUAAAGGGCGCGUAGGCGGCCACCGCAAGUCGAUUGUGAAAUCUCCGGGCUUAACCCGGAAAGGUCAACCGAUACUGCGGGGCUAGAGUGCAGAAGGGGCAACUGGAAUUCUCGGUGUAGCAGUGAAAUGCGUAGAUAUCGAGAGGAACACCUGCGGCGAAGGCGGGUUGCUGGGCUGACACUGACGCUGAGGCGCGAAAGCUAGGGGAGCGAACGGGAUUAGAUACCCCGGUAGUCCUAGCCUUAAACGAUGGAUGCUUGGUGUCUGGGGUUUUAUAGUCCCCGGGUGCCGUCGCUAACGCUUUAAGCAUCCCGCCUGGGGAGUACGGUCGCAAGACUG